AUGAAUGGUGAAAGGAAAGUACACUGGAUUGCUUGGGAGAAGAUGUGCUUAGGUAAGAGGAGUGGUGGACUAGGAUUUCGUGACCCUGAGGCUUUCAACCAAGCCCUCCUGGCGAAGCAAGCGUGGCGCAUUCUGCAGGUUCCGACAUCGUUGUGUGCAAGAGUACUCAAGGCAAGGUACUUUCCAGAUAAAUCUAUCAUGACGGCCACUUGCCCAUCGGCGGGUUCCUUCACUUUCAAGAGCAUCCUACAUGGCAGAAAUUUACUCUGA
rnacentral:rRNA from 1 species